AGACACAGAAGGGAAUAGAAGGGAAGAAAACAGGAGCAAUAGACAAUGUGGCUCACUCUCUGGUUAUUAGUGUCUUACUGUUUUUCAAAGAUUUUGGAUCAGACUAAGACAUUGUGUUAGAAUCCAAGAUACACCAGGUAAGGGACCCCUUCCCACCAUUGAGUCCAGUCAGUCUGAAAGUGGAAAAAAGAAGCAAACACUUAAUGGAUCCAUUGACCUGUUGUAUUCCUCAGAGAGAGGUUGAAGCUGAGCUUGACCAAGAUUCCUACUUUAGUGACAAAAGAGAUUGAACAAGCCUCCUCCAGUAAGUCUGACACCUGUGGCUUUAGACUGCAGCUGCACUAUUGAAUUUUAGGUGGGUGACAGGCAUUAAUUAUUUUUGAAAGAGAGAGUGAUUUCUAAAAGGAUUAUAGAACUCCAUAAAAUAAGGAGAUAGUUUGUUGCUCCAUUUCAGUCACCCUCCAUAGAAGCCCCAAUUUGGGCACAGAAAGAUGAAACUAGAUUCUCUACCCCUGUUAGCAGGGGAAACUGGGGGUUUUCUGCUUCUGCUGGCAGGUGAAGUCUGUGUCAAGUGCCAAUUUCGGCAGCUAAGAAGUGGUGCUCCUCUCAAAGGUGGGUUGUAUCCUUCUAUGUUAAUGCAGAACCCAGUGGCUCGCCAUCAAUUCCUUUUCCUGGGAUCUUUCUUGAAAAUUCAAAGAAUGAACUCUGCAGACCAGGAAGAGUGAGUGUAACAGUAGGACUUAUUGAAGAACAGGUAUAUAACUCUUGCAGUGCAAGAGGGGACCUGAUAGCUGGCUUUCUCUGACCAAGUGUGCUAGUCUAGGGGUUUAUAUUGCCCUUGGGUCACUGUGAUGUGUCCAAGCUUAUGCUGGUUAGGCUGUGGAAACAUACAAAUGCUAUUGGUCCCUAUUUAUGCUAACUAGGGUUUGAAAAAGCACUAACAGUAUUAGAUAGCCCCAAUCUCACUCUGGAUUUCCUCACUUUCAUUUUCUGUAUGCUUUUGGAAGACAGAAUUUGAGUCAUUGAAUUGUGCAUGCUUAGUGGUGUGUCAGGAACUUCAGGGCCUGUGUACAGUGUGCUUCUGCAGUGGCCAUCACCCAUGUGUGCAGGUGCGCAUCUUGCAGGGUGAUGAUCAGCUUGCCCCAGCUCACCUCAGUGCUUGACUGAUGCUCCAGCUUACGUGGUCCAUAACUCCCCUGUUUGCUGAAAUUGUUCAUAACUCCCCUGUUUGCUGAAAUAGUUAUCAGUGACCUGUAGGAUGACUGUCUGGCUUAUCAUCUGGGGAGUAAUGACAACAGGCAGAAUGUAUCUUGAUUGUGUUGUUAGCUAAAGUUUCAAAGGGUGCCAUGACUUCUUUCCCUAGAAGCCAAGCCUUCUCCACCUAUGCAGGAAGUCCUUUGUCAUGCUGAAUAUUUGUUCAGCUUGGCUAUCUAGCCUCUUCCACAGGAUCAGAAAAGAGGUAUCUAAGUAAAAUGCCAUCCCCAUGGCCAAUUCUAGAAAAUGCUCUGAUGGUUCAGAAGACUGAAGGCUCCAAACAUCUCUCUUACAUGAGACAG
rnacentral:lncRNA from 1 species